AAGCAACACUCUGUGGCAGAUAAUCGAAAGUGUCUGUCACAAUUUGAGCUUGCUAGAGCAAUUAAGUCUAACCUAUUCCGGUAUUCUCUUCUCUGUGAGAUAUGCCGUUAUAUAGACGUAAACAUU
rnacentral:snoRNA from 12 species